GAUGAACGCUAGCGGCAGGCUUAACACAUGCAAGUCGAGGGGUAACAGGGAAGAGCUUGCUUUUCCGCUGACGACCGGCGCACGGGUGAGUAACGCGUAUAGAACCUACCUUUUACAGGGGAAUAGCCCAGAGAAAUUUGGAUUAAUGCCCUAUAGUAUUAUUGAAUGGCAUCAUUUAGUAAUUAAACAUUUAUGGGUAAAAGAUGGCUAUGCGUUCUAUUAGCUAGAUGGUAAGGUAACGGCUUACCAUGGCAACGAUAGAUAGGGGUCCUGAGAGGGAGAUCCCCCACACUGGUACUGAGACACGGACCAGACUCCUACGGGAGGCAGCAGUGAGGAAUAUUGGACAAUGGAGGCAACUCUGAUCCAGCCAUGCCGCGUGCAGGAAGACGGCCCUAUGGGUUGUAAACUGCUUUUAUACGGGAAGAAACCCAACUACGUGUAGUUGGCUGACGGUACCGUAAGAAUAAGCACCGGCUAACUCCGUGCCAGCAGCCGCGGUAAUACGGAGGGUGCAAGCGUUAUCCGGAAUCAUUGGGUUUAAAGGGUCCGUAGGCGGGCUAAUAAGUCAGGGGUGAAAUCCAACAGCUUAACUGUUGAACUGCCUUUGAUACUGUUAGUCUUGAAUUAUAUGGAAGUAGAUAGAAUGUGUAGUGUAGCGGUGAAAUGCUUAGAGAUUACACAGAAUACCGAUUGCGAAGGCAGUCUACUACGUAUAUAUUGACGCUA
rnacentral:rRNA from 1 species